rnacentral:misc_RNA from 1 species
GAUGAAGAACGCAGCGAAAUGCGAUAAGUAAUGCGAAUUGCAGAAUUUCCGUGAAUCAUCGAAUCUUUGAACGCACAUUGCGCCCGCCAGUACUCUGGCGGGCAUGCCUGUCCGAGCGUCAUUUCAACCCUCAGGCCCUGUAUUGCCUGGCGUUGGGGCACUGCGAGCGCUGUAUUUUCGGCGCGCGCAGGCCCCCAAGAUCAGUGGCGAGCCCGCCGAGGCUCCGAGCGUAGUAGAUUUCUUUCUCGCUUGCGAAGCCCGGCGGCGCCUUUCGCCGUCAAAAACCCACUGUAACAAGUACUCAGGUUGACCUCGGAUCAGGUAGGAAUACCCGCUGAACUUAAGCAUAUCAAUAAGCGGAGGA